UGGGGAAUAUUGCACAAUGGGCGCAAGCCUGAUGCAGCCAUGCCGCGUGUAUGAAGAAGGCCUUCGGGUUGUAAAGUACUUUCAGCGAGGAGGAAGGCGUUGUGGUUAAUAACCGCAACGAUUGACGUUACUCGCAGAAGAAGCACCGGCUAACUCCGUGCCAGCAGCCGCGGUAAUACGGAGGGUGCAGCAGCUAGUUCGGAAUUAGAUCUGGGCGUAAAGCGCACGCAGGCGGUCUGUCAAGUCGGAUGUGAAAUCCCCGGGCUCAACCUGGGAACUGCAUCCGAAACUGGCAGGCUAGAGUCUUGUAGAGGGGGGUAGAAUUCCAGGUGUAGCGGUGAAAUGCGUAGAGAUCUGGAGGAAUACCGGUGGCGAAGGCGGCCCCCUGGACAAAGACUGACGCUCAGGUGCGAAAGCGUGGGGAGCAAACA
rnacentral:rRNA from 1 species